GACGAACGCUGGCGGCGUGCUUAACACAUGCAAGUCGAACGGAAAGGCCCUGCGUUUGUGGGGUGCUCGAUUGGCGAACGGGUGAGUAACACGUGUGGAACCUGCCCUUGACUUUGGGAUAACUUCAGGAAACUGGGGCUAAUACCGGAUAUGAUCUCCUGCUGCAUGUGGUUGGUUGGAAAGUUUCGGCGGUUGGGGAUGGACUCGCGGCUUACGAGCUUGUUUGUGUGGUAGUGGCUUACCAAGGCUUUGACGGGUAGCCGGCCUGAGAGGGUGACCGGCCACAUUGGGACUGAGAUACGGACCAGACUCCUACGGGCGGCAGCAGUGGGGAAUAUUGCACAAUGGGCGGAAGCCUGAUGCAGAAACGCCGCGUGCGGGAUGCCGGCCUUCGGGUUGUAAACAGCUUUCGCAUGUGACGAAGCGUGAGUGACGGUAAUGGGUAAAGAAGCACCGGCUAACUACGUG
rnacentral:rRNA from 1 species